rnacentral:rRNA from 1 species
UACGGAGGAUGCGAGCGUUAUCCGGAUUUAUUGGGUUUAAAGGGUGCGUAGGCGGAAUUUUAAGCGUGAGGUGAAAUGCCCGGGCUCAACCUGGGAACUGCCUCGCGAACGGGGAUUCUGGAAUGCCCCUGCCGUGGUAGGAAUGUGCGGUGUAGCGGUGAAAUGCAUAGAGAUCACACAGAACACCGAUUGCGAAGGCAUCUCACGAAGGGGUGAUUGACGCUGAGGCACGAAAGCGUGGGGAUCAAAC